rnacentral:misc_RNA from 1 species
GGGAGACUGCUGCUACUACUUCACCUCCUUCUUUCAUUUCUUGCUCCUUAUCUUUCUCCCAUCCUUUUGUUUCUUUUUUGCCUUACCUAGCCUAGCUGUUUCCAUGAGAGAUGGGCAACUGUCAAGCCAUAGAUGCUGCUGCUUUGGUCAUACAGCACCCUUGCGGCAAAAUAGAGAGGCUUUAUUGGCCAAUUUCAGCUAGUGAGGUUAUGAGAUUGAACCCUGGUCACUACGUUUCUUUGAUUAUUCCAUUGCCUCCUGUAUCUGGGGAUCAACAUAAAGAUAAUAACCCUGAAAAGAAGACUGUUCAGUUCACUCGUGUCAAGCUUCUCAGGUCUACUGAUACUCUUGCACUUGGCCAUGCUUAUCGCCUUGUUACUACUCAAGAAGUAAUGAAGGUGCUGAGGGCAAAGAGGUAUGCGAAAAUGAAGAGGCAGCAGAAUGAAUCAGUUGAGAAGCCUCAGACGGCAUCGGAGAAGAAGAGUUCAGAUUGUGAGGCAGGAAAUAAGCCUGCUGAUACGGACAAGGAUAAGGAGAGAGAUCAUCAGGCGACCAAGAAUGAAAGACACCGACCAAUGACACCAUCAAUCACCUCUACCGCACUCAGGACAAAGUCAUGGCGCCCCACAUUACAAAGCAUCUCUGAGGCUGCAAGCUGAUGGUGUUUUUAUUGAAAUCGCUCCAGUGGCACAUGAAAAAUUCAGUAGAUUGCUUCCAACAUUUCUGGAGACUACUGCUUAUACACAGCGAAAUAGAUUCAUCACUCCAUCAAAGGAGACGGGUUAACAGAUGUCGAAAGCAUUGUCAAUCAAAGCUACCAGUUUUAAGCCGUUUUCAAGUAAUAAGAAAUCUGUAUAGCUACAAAAAUAGCAAUGGAUCUACCAUUGGGUAACAAGUAAUAUUUUCUAGCCUUCAUAUUCUGCAAGCUUAUGAUCGAUCAAGAAUAAGAAUAGCAUAACAUAAAAAGAUAUCCUACAUAAAAGUAUCAAUACAGCGAAAAUAAGUCAAUUAUGUAGGUUUGAGUUCCAAGCUUCCCAGUCCUGAUCAACAUAGUUUUGAGCCCAUAACAAGGAUUCCCUUGCUGCUAAAGGCGCUCCAGGUAAUUUCCUCUCCUUGAGGGCAACCAGCAUAUCAGUGAAUGGCUCCACCAAUAAUGUUCCAGGUCCUCCAUACUCCUUGUGCAAGAAGUCGCUAAAUAUCUGUUCCAACACUACAAGCCGGUUAGCAUCAAAGACAAUUUUGGAUCUUUGCUUUUAUCUCAAACUUCAAACAUACAGGUAGCAUAUGAAGAAAUUGCCAACAUUGAACUAGACAUGCACAAAAAGUUGGAAUCAAUGAUGGAAGUUGUCCGUAUAACAGUGCUUAUAAUUUUGUCAGGUCCGUUAACUCUUUUGGGGUCAAUUACUAACUGUUAUCCAGUCAAACAAUCGCAGGGUUCCCAUGCGAUGAGAAAAAGAUGGUCGACCAAGUUCAAAAGGAAUCAGUACUGAAAGAAACCAUAAAACUCAAUUAGAAGAAAAUAAAAUUAAGUUGUGUGGGCUAGGAAAAAUAGACUAUGGCUUCAAUGCUGAUUAUUAUCAUCAUUUACCUAUAUUG